GAUGAACGCUGGCGGCGUGCCUAAUACAUGCAAGUCGAGCGAACAGACGAGGAGCUUGCUCCUCUGACGUUAGCGGCGGACGGGUGAGUAACACGUGGAUAACCUACCUAUAAGACUGGGAUAACUUCGGGAAACCGGAGCUAAUACCGGAUAAUAUAUUGAACCGCAUGGUUCAAUAGUGAAAGACGGUUUUGCUGUCACUUAUAGAUGGAUCCGCGCCUCAUUAGCUAGUUGGUAAGGUAACGGCUUACCAAGGCGACGAUGCGUAGCCGACCUGAGAGGGUGAUCGGCCACCCUGUAACUGAGACACGGUCCAGACUCCUACGGGAGGCAGCAGUAGGGAAUCUUCCGCAAUGGGCGAAAGCCUGACGGAGCAACGCCGCGUGAGUGAUGAAGGCCUUCGGAUCGUAAAACUCUGUUAUUAGGGAAGAACAAAUGUGUAAGUAACUAUGCACGUCUUGACGGUACCUAAUCAGAAAGCCACGGCUAACUACGUG
rnacentral:rRNA from 1 species